UACGGUCACAUCACAUUGAAUCACCGGUUCUCGUACGACCGACGAAGUUAAGCAACGUCGAGCCUGGUCAAUACUUAGAUGGGUGACAGGACUACCAGGUACUGUAA